UAACACGUGGAUGAUCUGCCCUGCACAGGGGGACAACAGCUAGAAAUGGCUGCUAAUACCGCAUAAGCCUACAGCCUCGCAUGAGGGAGUAGGAAAAGAAAUUCGGUGCAGGAUGAGUCCGCGUCUGAUUAGCUAGUUGGAGGGGUAAAAGCCCACCAAGGCAACGAUCAGUAGCCGGCCUGAGAGGGCGACCGGCCACAUUGGGACUGAGACACGGCCCAAACUCCUACGGAAGGCAGCAG
rnacentral:rRNA from 1 species